CUUCUCUCUAUACGCAAUAAUACUUAUUGCUGCGUGCUAAAUGUUCCGCGGCAUUAAUGUAAUAUCUGCGUUGGUGGAUGAGAGAGAAGACAAUGACUUCGUCGUUCUAUUCUGUUGUAUAGAAGUCGAUGAUU